UACGUAGGCAGCAAGCGUUUGUUCGGAAUUACUGGGCGUAAAGAGUGUGUAGGCGGUGCUCUAAGUCUGUUGUGAAAUCUCCCGGCUUAACCGGGAGGGUGCGGCGGAAACUGGAGUGCUUGAGGGUGGGAGAGGUAAGCGGAAUUCCUGGUGUAGCGGUGAAAUGCGUAGAUAUCAGGAGGAACACCGGUGGCGAAGGCGGGUCUCUGGGCCGAUACUGACGCUGAGGAGCGAAAGCGUGGGGAGCGAACAGG
rnacentral:rRNA from 1 species